UUCUACGCGUUCCUAACUUCGAGACCCAUCUUUUUCACCGACCUAUGGCAUAUAUAAAGCCACCACCACGUCACAGUUUCGUUUUUCCUUUCCUCUUCUCGAAACCAUAGAUCAACGAAUCUUAACUCGUUGCUUUGACCCCCUAAACCACUUCAAAUCGCUUCGGGCUCUACACGAAAGUUGUAGAUCUCGUCGAGAUCUUUCAAUCCGACCAAUCUCAUCUCUUUUCAUCCACCAUACACGGAUAAUUUCGCUUCGCAAGGCGUCAGGUCUGACAAAGGGAAUCUUCAAUUAGUUCGUGCUCGUUCUACGAAAUCCAAAUUCCUUUGAUCUAUUUCGAGUCAACCGGAGCCAAAUCGAGUUUCAAAACUAUCUCGAAUCGUCAUGACUUCAACACGGAAGUUGUUCAUCUCGUCAAAAUCUUUCCAUUGCCGCAAGUUUCACCUUGUUUCGUUCACCGAGCAAGGAGAAAAUGAUGUUACAAAAUUCAGAUCUUAUAAGUUGUACGGAGAGGCACGUAUUUUGAUUAAGAGAAGUGAACGCGCUUCGAUUACCGAAAAGGCAAGUGACACUCAAAUCCUACUUAUUUUAAUUAUGCAUUAGUGUUUUGAAACUAGCAUGCAUGGUAGGAUUUUGUUUUCAAAGUAAAAUAUUAUGCUAUGCUUAGCAAACCCUAGUAGUGUGUAGCUACUCCUGAACCUGUUGAUAGGAUACUUUAUUUUUGCUCUGCAACAUCAAAUGCCAAAUGUUAUUUCAUUGUUUCGAUUGUGAUGGUUUGAAAAGUGAAAAUUAACAACCUUAAUGAAUCACCUGGGUGGAUUGUUUGAGUGGU